UGUGGUUUCAUGGAACAUUUUCAUUGCAUGGUAAAACUCUAGUAUGCAGAGGGUAAGAGAGACAUGACGGGCUACAUGCAAUCAAAUGACUUCAAAGUCACACCCCCAGUGAAUUCCUUCUUCCCCAAGUUUCCAAUAUCUGUUAAAGUAUAAUCUGAGGAUUACGUAGUCAACACAUGAGCCGUGUUCAAACACAACAGAGUUUCAGUCAGUGUAGGCAAACAGUUGGGAUACAGUCUUUGACAGAGCAGAAGGUUGGAAGUCAGGAUUCUGCCAUAUUUCUGAUCUCAGGAGAAGCCUGGGACAGAGUAUGUGUGUCUGGGAGUGUGGGAACCGUGGGGCUAAGAGGAUCGCCUAGAUGACUGCGCUCAGGAGCCUGGAUGGAAGCUUGGCUUAAAAUCCAGAGCCAGCUGGAAAGUCUAGCAGCUUUAUUGAGUGCCUGGGACGACAGCCUGAAAGAAUUGAUUCACGGUUUCUUCCAUCAGCACGACUGGACGAAGGAGGCCAAUCUUGAGAAUUCUUUACCAAUCCAGGAUCCUGCCCCAGAACCUCCAUCAGAUUUGCUGUGUCUCAGCGGAAGGGAAUGGGCUGGAGAUUCACCCCUGAGCUAGCCACCAACAAUGGAAAUGGGCAGGCGGGAAAUACCUGAAGCAGAAUUUACACAUUUUAUUCCAGCAGCGAGUGACAUAGCCUGUGAAUAGUUUAUUAAAUUAAAGUCCAUGGAAGCUCCACACAUUGCAAACUGGUUGUUACGAUGUAAUUCUUGCUGAAUCUGUCCUCACCUCAUGAGAAGCUGACAGGCAUUGCCUGGAACUUCUCUGUUCAGAGUGAAGAUGAUUGUGCUUUACAAGUUGCAGUGUGUUUGACUGCUCUCAGAGAAACACAAUUUGAGUACAGAAAUAAAGAAUUUCCGAUGUUUUCCUUAGUAUCUGCCAAACAACUAUCCCUCAAGGAACAAAAUGCAGAAUUUGUCUUUUUCUCCUGCUGUGAGUUGAAACACACAGAUGUUAUGGAAGAAAAAGAUUAGUACUCCAAUUUUAUGGCAAACCUCUGCCUGAAGGAGCAAACACGCCCUCUCCAUGUGACUUUAGGGGCAGACACGCCCUCUUCAUGCAUGCUGGCCACGCCCAGCCUAGCCAGCCUAGCCCUACGGAAGUUUCACGUGUGUUUUCAUGUUAUGUUCCCGGCACCUACAUAGUAGCACCCAACCAUCUAUACUUCCACUACCAGAGGAUCAGGAGUCUUGCCUCAGGUUUUGCCUUCUCUCCCCAUCUCCUCAGUGACUACGGAAGCCACCCCAGUGGAAGCCGCCCGAGCACUUGCUGCCUUAGCUUGACAAGAUCCAGAGCCAAGCUUUGAGCCAUUCCAUCUGACACUCCCACUUCUGAUUGAGGUUGGGAUCUUGCCUGGGAUCUCCUCCGUGCCAUUCUGAUGUGAAAGGCAGAACUUCCUGCUGAAGGGGACUCAUCUUUCUGGAAUUGCACCAAGCCUGGAGGCAGACUGGCUUUCCAGCCCUCAACAGGGGUUUCCGGCGGGGCCUGCCAUCCCUGCGGGAGUUCAGGUGCAUUUUGCUCAAUGUGAAAUCACAUUUUAUUCUCUCUAAUUACCAACUGGAUGACAGAAGUUCUUUGGUUUCCGUUUGUUCAGCUCAGUGUAAGAUAAUAAAACCGCUCCAUCACAUACCGAUUUAAAUAACUACUGUUGGGUUUUUGGUGUGUGUGUGUGUGCGCGCGUGCGCACGCACGUUGUUAAACAUGACAUCAAUAAAGCAUAACCCAAAUGCUUUUCCUGA